GUAUGUAUAUUCCCCAGACUCUAACCAUUCUAAUACAUUCAGAGAUUGUGAAAAACAUAGACCUUAAAACAUAACCCAAGGCAAAGCUGGAGCACAGCAAUCCUCAAAAAGGUCUACAAGUUGUGCACAGUUGGGAGAAAUAAAGAAAAAACAAGCGUGCACAUGCACUCAAGCCAGCAACAGCCUGCUUCAAUUUUAAUUCGAUAAUGAUCCUUCCGCAGGUUCACCUACGGAAA
rnacentral:misc_RNA from 1 species